CCCUUUUUCAUUUUCUAUGUUCAGAGGACCGUGAAAUUGGGGUCAAAAGUCUAAUUUUGCUUUAAAAUUAGAAAGAUCAUAUCAUAAGCAACAAGUGUACUAAGUUUCAAGUUGAUUGGACUUCAGCUUCAUCAAAAACUACCUUGACCAAAAACUUUAACCUGAACGGACGAACGGACGAACGGACGAACGAACGCACGGACGCACGGACGCACAGACGGACGGAGGCACAUACCAGAAAACAUAAUGCCCCUCUACUAUCGUAGGUGGGGCAUAAAAACGA
rnacentral:lncRNA from 1 species